UGAUUUGGUGUGGGAGAAACUAAAUGAGGUCAAUGGGGAUACAUUGUUCAUGACUGGCAACUUCAAGGAAUUCAAGGCAGAAAGUCAUGCAAAUGAUACAUGGGAUGAGCACAAUGCCAUGGCCAGUACUGCUGACUAUAUUGCCAGCAUUGAUACUGGAGCACAAGUGGGCUUGGAUAUGAAUUCUGAUCUGCAGCUUGCAAUAGCUCUGCAACAACAGGAGUUUGAGCAGCAGCAGCAGCAGCAGCAGCAGCCUCACCCCCAUAAUUUGGAGCAACCUACUGUUACUGGCAGCUCAAGACUGAUUACCGGUCCCCAGGUGCCCAGAACCACUGGGAAAUAUUCAUCUUCAUCUUCAAGGCCCGAAGCAAAAUCAAAGGAUAAGUGUAUUGUGAUGUGAGUUUUGCUUAAGGGCAACUUGGAAGUCUGCACUGUAAAUGUUAUGUAUCUUGGCUUCAUUUUGUCCAUGACACUAAUAAACUCAGGUAACCAUACAAGUGAUUUAGAUAAGUUUUUCUUUUGCAAAAAAGUAUAUAGUACCAGAUUGCU
rnacentral:misc_RNA from 1 species